rnacentral:lncRNA from 1 species
CUUACCACAGUUCCCCUUCCUACCCACAGGCUCCGUGCCUAGGUUGAAAUCCAGUCCAGCGGGAUUCUUGGCCCUUUCUCUGGACGUCUUCCUCUGCUUUCCCCCCUCCCACUCCUGAAGCAGGACGUGAUCUCUCCUUUGUCUCUGCAGCAGGCCCUCUCUUCCCAGAACAGUCUGCAAAUAGAGAUUCUGAUGGAGAGAGGCAACAGUAAAACAGGAUGGGAGAAGACAUAGCCCUUAAUUUCACAGGGCUCUCAUGAAGGAAACUGAGUGGGGACAAGUGUCUUCGGAAGACACGGAGUGGAAUCAUCCUUCAUCCAGAUCCUAAGCUCUGCU